GACGAACGCUGGCGGCGUGCUUAACACAUGCAAGUCGAACGCUGAAGGCCUGGCUUUUGUUGGGUUGGAUGAGUGGCGAACGGGUGAGUAACACGUGAGUAACCUGCCCUCUUCUUUGGGAUAACGCCCGGAAACGGGUGCUAAUACUGGAUAUUCACUGAUCUUCGCAUGGGGGUUGGUGGAAAGGUUUGUUCUGGUGGGGGAUGGGCUCGCGGCCUAUCAGCUUGUUGGUGGGGUGAUGGCCUACCAAGGCUUUGACGGGUAGCCGGCCUGAGAGGGUGACCGGUCACAUUGGGACUGAGAUACGGCCCAGACUCCUACGGGAGGCAGCAGUGGGGAAUAUUGCACAAUGGGCGAAAGCCUGAUGCAGCGACGCCGCGUGAGGGAGGGAGGCCUUCGGGUUGUAAACCUCUUUCGCUCAUGGUCAAGCCGCAACUGUGGGUUGUGGUGAGGGUAGUGGGUAAAGAAGCGCCGGCUAACUACGUG
rnacentral:rRNA from 1 species